rnacentral:rRNA from 1 species
GACGAACGCUGGCGGCGCGCCUAACACAUGCAAGUCGAACGAGCGAGAGAGAGCUUGCUUUCUCAAGCGAGUGGCGAACGGGUGAGUAACGCGUGAGGAACCUGCCUUUCAGUGGGGGACAACAGUUGGAAACGACUGCUAAUACCGCAUAAUGCUUUUGAGCGGCAUCGCUUGAGGGAAAAGGAUUUAUUACGCUUCAGGAUGGACUCGCGUCCAAUUAGCUAGUUGGUGAGGUAACGGCCCACCAAGGCGACGAUUGGUAGCCGGACUGAGAGGUUGAACGGCCACAUUGGGACUGAGACACGGCCCAG